rnacentral:rRNA from 1 species
CCCUUAGAUGUUCUGGGCUGCACGCGCGCUACACUGAAGCUAUCAACAUGUUUUCCCUCCCUGAGAAGGGCGGGUAACCUUUUGAAUCAGCUUCGUGGUAGGGAUCGGGGCUUGCAAUUGUUCCCCGUGAACCAGGAAUUCCUAGUAGACGCGAGUCAUAAGCUCGCAUCGAUUAAGUCCCUGCCCUUUGUACACACCGCCCGUCGCUACUACCGAUUGAACGUUUUAGUGAGGCAUUUGGACCGACGCAUCUCAGUUUAACCGCUGGUUUGUGUUGGAAAGACUUCCAAACUUGAGCGUUUAGAGGAAGUAAAAGUCGUAACA